rnacentral:misc_RNA from 1 species
GCAGAGAGUUGUCGAAGUACACACGGUGUUGCCAACUCUCGAACAUUGAUCGGUAUGUGUGGUAACACCUUUACAACAAGAGUAGCAAACGACUGUUAACGAAGUCUUCUUUUUCAAUACAUGCAAACGUGUGACAAGACAGAUUAGGUACUAUGUGUUUUAAGGAAUGUAUAGAUAGUUAUUAGAAAACCAGCUGAUGUUCAACAACUUAUGGGCUCAACCUGUGAUUUUUAUACUUUCUUUGAAAUGAAAGGAUUUUAGUACUGAGCCGAUUCGAAAAAAAGCAAACAAACCAAAAACGGAGGGGAUGGAAUGUUCUGUUUCUCAUCAGAAAAAAUGGAUGUCUCAUCAGGUUUGACUUGUGGAAGGUGUGUGAGAGAGAAAAAGAAACAACAAUGGGUAACUUGAUAGGAAGAGGAAAUGUAAGACCAAAAGAGCGACCAAUUCGACCAAACCACACAGUACCGUCAAAUGUAAAAGCAACGCACAAAGACCAUCCAAACCAUGGGUACAAAGAUAAUCAAGUGAAGACCACGAAAUACACAGUUUUAUCAUUUCUACCCAAAAAUCUGUUUGAACAGUUUCAUAGAUUUGCAAAUUUGUAUUUUAUUUUUGUGGUGGCAUUGAACUGGGUUCCCGAAAUAAAUGCCUUUGCCAAAGAAGUUGCUGCAGUUCCUGUUAUAUUCGUGCUUUCUGUGACUGCUGUCAAGGAUGCUUAUGAAGACUUUCGAAGAUACCGGUCUGAUAAAAAAGUUAAUGCCUUGACCUGUAGAGUAUAUUCAAGAUCUGAGGAGCGUUAUGUAAAAGUAGAAUGGAAAAAUGUUUAUCCUGGAGAUUUUGUGCACUUGUCCUGCAAUGAGAUCAUUCCAGCUGAUAUACUUCUACUACGUUCGAGUGAUCCUGGUGGGAUAUGUCAUGUUGAAACUAGCAAUCUUGAUGGAGAGAAUAAUCUCAAGCAACGUCAGGCAGUAACUGGAGUGAUGACAAAUAUGGAAAAUUUUGAUCCAAGGUGGUUCACCUACACAGUUACGGUAGAUGAGCCAAAUACAUCCAUUUACAACUUCAAAGGCUAUGUAGAAAAAGAUGGAGAGAAGAUUCCUCUCAACAGCAGCAAUCUUCUGCUACGUGGAUGCAUGAUCAAAAACACAGAUUUUAUAGAGGGUCUUGUUCUUUAUGCAGGCCAUGAAACAAAGGCCAUGCUUAAUAAUCGUGGGCCAAGGUACAAACGUACUAAGCAAGAACGGAAAAUUAACCGUGAUGUCAUCUGGUGUGUUAUACUCCUUUUGUUUCUCUGCUUCUUUUGUGCAAUUGGUAGUGGAAUAUGGCUGGCAGAUUACAAUGAUCUGACAAAAAACACCAACCUUGUGCCUUUCAUUCCAUUUGGAGAUCUUGACCAGUACAGUCCACUAUACCAAGGUUUCAUUGUAUUUUGGACAUACAUCAUCAUCUUCCAGACUGUGAUUCCAUUGCCGCUGUAUGUCUCUGUGGAACUUGUGAAACUAGGCCAGGUUUAUUUCAUCACCCAAGAUCUGGAACUGUAUGAUGAAGAGUCUGACAAAAGAAUGGAGUGCAGGGCCCUCAACAUUACUGAAGAUCUUGGUCAGAUUGAGUACAUCUUCUCUGACAAAACUGGUACAUUAACAGAAAAUAAAAUGGAAUUCAAGGGUUGCACCAUUGGUGGAGUGGAUUACCCCCAUUUUCCAGAUGAGGAAUUUUCAAGUGAGAGCAACUUUGACAGCCGGAUAUCCGUUACCAACUUUAGUCGGAACAGUUCUGUUAUGGACAACUUACCUCUGGAGCCUGCCCUGCAGCGUGAACUGUCAAACAUGUGUCUUCGCAGUUUAGAGAGCGUCGAGUUGACCAUCCCUCCCCACGUCAAGCGUGUGCAGGAGUUCUUUCUCCUUAUGGCAAUCUGUAACACAGUGGUUGUUUCCCACCACCCCCAUGAAGAUAUGUUGGAUGAAAGUGGAUUUCUUGCUGAGCCAGCCUUCAACAAGUUAGGUGAUCGACCAAGUGAAGCAACAGACAAGUAUAAUCGUAUUCAACAAACCAGCACCCCUGUGUUCGUACGAGCAUCUAAAAGUCGCUCUUUUGGUUCCCUGUCAGCUAGCGAUCUGGGGGAUUACCCAGGCACACCAUCAGAAGGUAGUGUCACUGGGUCUUCAUUUUUGUCUGACAGUUCUUCACAGACGAGAUAUGAAGCUGAAAGUCCAGAUGAACUUGCACUGGUGAGAGCAGCCAGUACCUAUGGAUGCCGUUUAUUGAAGCGUUCACCUGAUAAAGUGGUGGUAUGGCUUCCAGCGGAAGGAGAUGUAGAAUUUUUUGUACUGAACGUACUUGAUUUUGAUUCUACAAGAAAGAGAAUGUCUAUCAUAGUGCAGCAUCCCCUCUCCAAAGAAAUCAUUUUGUUUGUCAAGGGAGCUGACUCUGCUAUUCUCAGUGUUCUUCAUAAGAGAUACAAAGAGGAUCAUGAAGAAAAAAGAGUCCUGGAGGAGACGAACAAGCAUCUGUUAAGCUAUGCAUUGAGAGGUCUCCGCACAUUGUGCAUGGCCCGAAAGGUGUUGACAGGUGAGGAGUAUUCAGCAUGGUUGGUGAAACAUAAGGAGGCAGAAGCAGCUAUGGAUGACAGAGAAAUCAAACUUCGUGACUCUGCUUGCCGCAUUGAGGCUGACCUUGAUCUUCUAGGGGCAACAGGUAUUGAAGACAGAUUGCAAGAUGGUGUUCCCCAGACCAUUGCAAAACUGCGAGCGGCAGGAAUCAACAUAUGGGUUCUUACUGGUGACAAACAGGAAACAGCAAUGCAAAUUGCUUAUGCUUGCAAGCUCUUCAGCAAAGACCAAGAGGUUUUCACCAUAAAUGCUACAAGCAAGGAAUUAACACGCGAUCUUCUGGAGCACCAUCUCUGCCAGAUUGAUCGGGAUCAGUCAGUGCGUCGGACACCAGAACAGGCAAAUGCAGAUGCUGCUCCACAUGAUGUAGAACAUCAGAGGAGUUCUUUCAUUAGCAAGGAGCGAAGUUAUGCUUUGGUGAUUGAUGGCCACACAUUGAGCUUUGCUCUGCUGCCAGAACUAGAGGAGCUUUUUUUGAAGCUUUCACAGAAGUGUCACUCUGUUGUUUGCUGUCGAGCAACACCAAUACAAAAAGGCAAUGUAGUGAAGCUAGUCAGAGAUAACCUCAACAAGAUGACCCUUGCCAUAGGUGAUGGUGCCAAUGAUGUUAGCAUGAUUCAAACAGCAGAUGUUGGUGUGGGCAUAUCAGGGCAGGAAGGAAUGCAAGCGGUCAUGGCGUCAGACUUUGCCAUUGCACGCUUCCGUUUCCUUGAGCGCCUACUUCUUGUACACGGACACUGGUGUUAUGAUCGCCUUGCACGCUUUGCUGCUGUCAUGUUCUAUAAGAGCAUGCUAUCAGUGUUUGUGUUGUUUUGGUUCCAAAUCUUCAGUGGUUUCUCAGGGUCUUUGAUGAUUGACAGUCUCUACCUGACCCUGCAGCAUGUUGUCUUCACAGCUUUGCCCCCACUCAUCAAUGGUAUCUUUGACAAGGAUCUGUCAGCAGAGACACUGCUAGCUUACCCUCAGGUCUACAGACCAUGUCAGGCUGGAGAGAUGUACACCCAUUGGACAUUCCUAGUAAUACUAAUGGACUCCUUGUGGCAAAGCCUGAUGAUAUACUUUAUACCACAUUUGGCUUACAGCAACAAUUCUGUUGGCAUAUGGGAGUUUGGCACCACCAUAGAUGUGUGCCAGAUUCUGUCCAUUCUACUCAUGUUUGGAAUUGAGAAUAACUCUUGGGUAUGGCUGCAGUGGUUUAGUCUUGUAAUCAGCUUUAUCAUCUUCUGGAUGUUUUGCGUUAUUUCUAAUGCCUUCUUCUUCACAUUUGACCAUCCGUCCAAUCCAUACUGGGUAAUGGAAAUGACUAUUUCCAAUCCAAUCCACUCCUGUAUGGUUGUUCUCGCCUGUGUUGCUGCUCUUCUUCCGAGGCUAACAUUUCGAAUGCUUCAGAACUCCUUUUUCCCCACUUCUAUUCAGUGGACCCUCAUUAUGAGUCACGCAGAUUUUGCGAUGAUGUGAAGGGACUGUUCUGCUCAACUGUCAGCAGCACAACAGGCCUGGUGGUACAUAGGAUACUGUCAAGAGCCUACUGCUGUAUAUAUUGUUAUUUGUUCGCACUAUUCAGAUGUCUCUUUUUCCGAAUGAAAUUCACAUAGCUCGAAGACUGGAGAAGGAGGAGAUGGAGAAAGGGGAUCUCCAAGUGUCUGUUCAUUCUCCAGAGCACAAGGA